UGAGGAAUCUUGCGCAAUGGGGGAAACCCUGACGCAGCAACGCCGCGUGAGUGAGGAAGGCCUUCGGGUCGUAAAGCUCUGUCAGAUGGGAAGAAAUGGAUGGGGGCUAAUAUCGUCCAUCCUUGACGGUACCAUCAGAGGAAGCACCGGCUAACUCCGUGCCAGCAGCCGCGGUAAUACGGGGGGUGCAAGCGUUGUUCGGAAUCAUUGGGCGUAAAGCGCGCGCAGGCGGCUUGGUAAGUCAGAUGUGAAAUCCCUGGGCUUAGCCCAGGAGGUGCAUUUGAUACUGCCUCGCUAGAUUACGGGAGAGGAAAGUGGAAUUCCUGGUGUAGAGGUGAAAUUCGUAGAUAUCAGGAGGAACACCGGUGGCGAAGGCGACUUUCUGGCCCGAUACUGACGCUCAGGCGCGAAAGCGUGGGGAGCAAACAG
rnacentral:rRNA from 1 species